CCAAUUUAUUUUUUCUUCUGAUGCUUCUCGGUUCUUCUCGCCUUUUCACCCUUUCAAUUAUCCAUCGCCCUAUUUUUUUAUCUCCCCACCGCCCCUUACUUUUGAGGUUUUCCAAGUUUUCUCUGAGCUGCUUUGGCCGGUGAAUACAUUUCACCCUCCACUGCUUCACCGACGUUGUAAGCCAAUUAGAUUAGGAUUGGUGUCAUUUCUCUAGCUACCGAUUGCUUCAUCUAAUAUCUUCCCGAUCGUUCUAAUUUUUUCAUCGCACUCUUCUCAACCAAUCAUCACUCACACCACUAAGGAUUUUCAAUCCAGAAUCCAACUACCUCUUUUCUCACGUCCACCGUGUGAUGGUUUCGCCGGCGGAUUCCCUGUUUCCAUUCCCGACUCCCUUUUCUUGCCUCUUUGUUAACGACCCCUUUUGGUGGAAUUUCGUCGCCUCACUACCACCAACAGUCUUAUGUGCCGAGCCUGAAGACUUCAUGGUGGGUUUUCGUUCUUGGCGGUGACGGUUCCAUCAAAGCUACUUGCGACAAGGUAAUUUUCCUUGCUUCUUUUGGUAGCUUCAUAUUUUGUUCAUUCGAAAUCAGGUGGCCUACCCUUUUCAGUUUCCCAACAUUAAUCUACCUUUCAUGUCUCAUUGAAGACCUGGAAACCCCAAUACUGGCAGGAUUGCUCUUGCUAAGAAAAAUUGAAGUGUGUGACUGGAUUAAUGGAUAGUAGGUCACUCAAUUUCCUUACAGCUGAGGUCAAAUCCAUUACAGUUUAAUAGAACAGGUCUCCAAUUACACAUGAAAUUUAAUUAUGCCCUACCCAGUUGAUAUUGAAUUUUUAAGUUGAGUUUCACAAUGUAUCCUAGCUGCUUGAUGAAAUGCUUGAACCAGAUUGUCCUUUACUAUAUUUUUUUCCGCGCUUACUACAGCCUGUUCAGGGGUUUGUGGAAGUUGAUGAUGAUUACAUUCAAGAUGAUUUCAACCUCUGUGUGUUAAGCAUUCAAGUUCCUUAUUUUUAUUUUGCACUUGAUCUAAUCUUAGAUGUAGAAUCUUUUGAUGGUAAGUUGUAUUAUUGUUUUCUGAAUCUUGGAUAUUUUUUUACAUUAAAACUACUAAUCUAUUCAAUCUUUUUAUAGAAGCAAUUGUAAUUGAUAUCAACAUCAAAAUAUUAUACAUACCCAACACAUUAAAGAAAUAUUCUUUUCUCUUAGCAAA